AUUAAUUGUUAAAUUAAGAUUCUAAUUUUCUAAUUUUCUUUCAACACCCUGUAGUAAAAAUGACAAUCUAACGUGUCGUUUCACAAGUUAACUCAUAUUCGACUCAUUAAUAAAUAAACCGACCGUUCCUAGAGUAAGUGGCAAAGGGUUUGGUGGUUGGUACCCGAGAUCUAAGUUCGAAUCCUAGUUGAUUCACAUUUUCAGCUAAAUUUAUUUCUAAAUGAAAUAAACGAAGCGGAUAGCGUGCUACCUAUCUCUCAAAAAAAAAUAAAAAUAAACUAAACACGAGCUAAAAUUUUCAAUUCGAUAUCUUAACGAGUCAGCUCGUAUUUGGCUUGUUUAAUAAACGAGCGAACAAGAGCCAAUCCCAGCUCGCUCGUGCAUGCAU
rnacentral:lncRNA from 1 species